AGAGUUUGAUCCUGGCUCAGGAUGAACGCUAGCGGCAGGCUUAAUACAUGCAAGUCGAGGGGCAACAGGGGUAGCAAUACCUGCUGGCGACCGGCAAACGGGUGCGCAACACGUACAGAACCUUCCUUUAAGCGGGGGAUAGCCCAGAGAAAUUUGGAUUAAUACCCCAUGGUAUUAUUGUCUGGCAUCAGGUAAUAAUUAAAGAUUUAUCACUUAGAGAUGGCUGUGCGUCUGAUUAGGUAGUUGGUGUGGGUAACGGCCUACCAAGCCUUCGAUCAGUAACUGGUGUGAGAGCACGACCAGUCACACGGGCACUGAGACACGGGCCCGACUCCUACGGGAGGCAGCAGUAAGGAAUAUUGGUCAAUGGACGCAAGUCUGAACCAGCCAUGCCGCGUGAAGGAUGAAGGUCCUCUGGAUUGUAAACUUCUUUUAUGUGGGAAGAAAUGUCCGGAUUAUUCUGGAUUUGACGGUACCAUAGGAAUAAGCACCGGCUAACUCCGUGCCAGCAGCCGCGGUAAUACGGAGGGUGCGAGCGUUAUCCGGAUUCACUGGGUUUAAAGGGUGCGUAGGUGGGUCUGUAAGUCAGUGGUGAAAUCUCCGUGCUUAACAUGGAAACUGCCAUUGAUACUAUAGGUCUUGAAUUUUCUGGAGGUAAGCGGAAUAUGUCUGUAGCGGUGAAAUGCUUAGAUAUGACAUAGAACACCAAUUGCGAAGGCAGCUUGCUACAGGAAUAUUGACACUGAGGCACGAAAGCGUGGGGAUCAAACAGGAUUAGAUACCCUAGUAGUCC
rnacentral:rRNA from 1 species